UACGGGGGGGGCAAGCGUUGUUCGGAAUUACUGGGUGUAAAGGGCGCGUAGGCGGCCUUCUAAGUCGGACGUGAAAUCCCUCGGCUUAACCGAGGAACUGCGUCCGAUACUGAAAGGCUUGAAUCCGGGAGAGGGAUGUGGAAUUCCAGGUGUAGCGGUGAAAUGCGUAGAUAUCUGGAGGAACACCGGUGGCGAAGGCGGCAUCCUGGCCCGGUACUGACGCUGAGGUGCGAAAGCGUGGGGAGCAAACAGG
rnacentral:rRNA from 1 species